rnacentral:snRNA from 1 species
AAAGCUUUUCGGCCUUUUGGCUAAGAUCAAGUGUAGUAUCUGUUCUUAUCAGUUUAAUAUCUGAUAUGUCCUCUAUUCGAGGACUACAUAUUAAAUGGAUUUUUGGAGCUGGGAGAUGGAAGAAGGGCUUGCUCUGUCCACUCCACACAUUGACCUGGUAUUGCAGUGCUUCCAGGAACGGUGCACUUUCC